AUGAAGAACGUAGCGAAAUGCGAUAAGUAAUGUGAAUUGCAGAAUUCAGUGAAUCAUCGAAUCUUUGAACGCACAUUGCGCCCCCUGGUAUUCCGGGGGGCAUGCCUGUUCGAGCGUCAUUACAACCCUCAAGCUCUGCUUGGUAUUGGGCCCCGCCAGUUCUGGCGGGCCCUAAAGUCAGUGGCGGUGCCUUCCGGCUCCGAGCGUAGUAAUUCUUCUCGCUCUGGAGACCCGGUUGUGUGCUUGCCAACAACCCCCAAUUUUUUAAGGUUGACCUCGGAUCAGGUAGGGAUACCCGCUGAACUUAAGCAUAUCAAUAAGCGGAGGAA
rnacentral:misc_RNA from 1 species